UCACCAACUAAGGCCCCUAAAUGACCGCUCAGUGAUAAAGGAGGUGGGGGUGCAAAGACAGCCAGGAGGUUUGCCUAGAAGCAGCCACCCUUUAAAGAGUGCGUAAUAGCUCACUGAUCGAGCGUCCUUGCGCUGAAGAUGAACGGGGCUAAGCGAUCUGCCGCAAGUUGAGG
rnacentral:ncRNA from 1 species